rnacentral:lncRNA from 1 species
GUAAUAAGUAGAGAAUAAAUAGUAAAGAAUGGCUAAUGUUAAAGAAUAACAAAUGCUAAAGGACGACUAAUAUGGAAAAGAACGAUUAGCGAUAAAUAAUGGUUAAGAGUAAAGAAUGAUUAAGAAUAAUGAGUAGAAUUAACUAAUCUACUUGCAUGAGUUACAAGAAUUGCAUAAUGUUCAUAUUGCAUAUUGUGAGGCAUGUUAUCUGUUAGUUGCAUCAUAACAUGAUGAUAUAUAUAUCGGUUGAUGUUUUUUUGGACUAACAUGAUUGCAGCGCCUCCUUGGACCUAU